rnacentral:misc_RNA from 1 species
UAGUAGAUGGCUUGGAGCUG